AUUGAACGCUGGCGGCAUGCCUUACACAUGCAAGUCGAACGGUAGCGGGCCUUCGGGUGCCGACGAGUGGCGAACGGGUGAGUAAUGCAUCGGAACGUACCUUUCAGUGGGGGAUAACGUAGCGAAAGUUACGCUAAUACCGCAUAUUCUGUGAGCAGGAAAGCAGGGGAUCGCAAGACCUUGCGCUGAUUGAGCGGCCGAUGUCAGAUUAGCUAGUUGGUGAGGUAAAGGCUCACCAAGGCGACGAUCUGUAGCGGGUCUGAGAGGAUGAUCCGCCACACUGGAACUGAGACACGGUCCAGACUCCUACGGGAGGCAGCAGUGGGGAAUUUUGGACAAUGGGGGCAACCCUGAUCCAGCCAUGCCGCGUGAGUGAAGAAGGCC
rnacentral:rRNA from 1 species